rnacentral:rRNA from 1 species
AUUGAACGCUGGCGGCAGGCCUAACACAUGCAAGUCGAGCGAGCGGCGGACGGGUGAGUAAUGUCGGGGAAACUGCCGGUUGGAGGGGGAUAACUACUGGAAACGGUAGCUAAUACCGCAUACCAUCAGAUGUGCCCAGACGGGAUUAGCUAGUAGGUGGGGUAACGGCUCACCUAGGCGACGAUCCCUAGCUGGUCUGAGAGGAUGACCAGCCAAACGGGAACUGAGACACGGUCCAGACUCCUACGGGAGGCAGCAGUGGGGAAUAUUGAGCAAUGGGCGAAAGCCUGACGCAGCCAUGCCGCGUGUGUGAAGAAGGCCUUAGGGUUGUAAAGCUCUUUCAGCGGGGAGGCGUUACCCGCAGAAGAAGCACCGGCUAACUCCGUGCCAGCAGCCGCGGUAAUAC